UACUUUAGUCUAAAGAAGCUGGCAAAAUUGCACUGUAGAAAUGAACAGUGUUUUGUAAGACAUUUCAGUUUAUUUACAAGACUACCACUGGCCCUCUCUGCCGUUAGUCUUGAUGCAUACGUGUUGAUGAUCGUGGGAAGGAAGAACGAUGGUAAAGGCGGUCUUUUUCGUUUCAUUCUCAAACCCUCCUUGCCUCUUCCGUCUCACAGACCCGACGAGAAUGACACAGACGGUCUCGCGUCCAUCCUAUCCUCCUCUCACCGCCGUCUGCCUUCCCUCGCCUAUGUCGUCUUACUCCAUCGUUUGCGUCAUGGAGGCCCAUGCGUGGUUUUUUGGGUGGGGAUUUCAGAUUUCAAGGGGGAGAGAGGUUGUGCUUCGUUUCGAUCUGGUCUUGGCUUCAAUAAAAUCAGCACCCACAACUGGAUGAGUCAAGAAGCCUGACCGCUACCGACCUGGAAUCGUCGCUCUUCGUGAAAAAACAUACUAAAGCAACAACAUUAUGGUGGUGGGAAUAAGCGUUCUCAGUUUGAUCGAAUCAGGUUGAAUUGAAUAAUCCUUGAAGUGACAAGAAGGAGCUGACUGAGCAAGUUUGCCUCAAGCCGGUGAAGGAAUCAGGGUAACAGAGCCCAGACUAUAAGAGCUAUUUCACAUCCCUUAAUUUUUAUUUUAUUUUAUUAAUUUUAACCAGAUCUGAGAAUUUCUAAGUCAUGGAUCUAUAAAUAGUGUGUGUUGAGUCUCUGAGCAUCUCUAUUUUUUUUUUUUUCAUCAAAUGGUCUCUGUAGUGUCUCUGUGUGUUUGUGCAUCCAUGUAUGAAUAUGAUCUCUGCAAGCUCAUUAUUGUCCUGGGAAACCACCUAAAUUAUUGAUACCUUGCUUUCUACGUACAAUGCUAUCAAGUUCUAUUUUCUAGAUUUCUGAUUUUGGGGGGGAGGGAGUGCUAAUAUAGUAAUUUUCAGGUAUUUUGUGUCUUUUGGGUAACUUUGUGAUAUGCAGUUGAUUUUAGGAAUUGAUUUAUGGUGGAAUGCACUGACAUAAGUUGUUGUUUUUGUUAAUGCAGAUGAUGGAAAUUGACCCGAGUUCAAACUGAAACAAUAUGAUUAUUUUGGUUAUGAGACGGCUGAUGGCAUUUUGAACUGCUUAGAUACAACUGAAGUGGAGAAGGAUAGCUCAGUGGCUUCCUAAGGUGCAAUGCUACUUCAGAAUGCUUUAGUUCAGAAGCCGGCAGAAUCAAAUGACAAUCUUGGGCCAAGAAAGAAAUCAUUAUCUGAUAUUGGGAACCUACUGGUGAAUGCAGACGCUGCAAAACCUGCCUUAAAGAACUGUAGAUGCUGAAGACAAAAAAGAAGCAAAGGAUACAUUGCAAGCAUAAGAGUUGGCUUCAUUUCAUUCCAGUG